rnacentral:rRNA from 1 species
GACGAACGCUGGCGGCGCGCUUAACACAUGCAAGUCGAACGGAAAGGCCUGCUUUCCCUUGUGGAUUGCGGGUACUCGAGUGGCGAACGGGUGAGUAACACGUGAGUGAUCUGCCCCCAACUUGGGUAUAAGCCUGGGAAACUGGGUCUAAUUCCCGAUAGGACUGCAGGGUGGUGCCUGUGGUGGAAAACGGUUUUCUAGUGGUUGGGGAUGAGCUCGCGGCCUAUCAGCUUGUUGGUGGGGUAAUGGCCUACCAAGGCGGCGACGGGUAGCCGGCCUGAGAGGGUGGACGGCCACAUUGGGACUGAGAUACGGCCCAGACUCCUACGGGAGGCAGCAGUGGGGAAUAUUGCACAAUGGGCGGAAGCCUGAUGCAGCGACGCCGCGUGGGGGAUGUCGGCCUUCGGGUUGUAAACUCCUUUCGACCGCGAGGAAGCCACCUGGUUGGAAGGGUGGUGACGGUAGUGGUAGAAGAAGCACCGGCUAACUACGUG